CCUCAGUAACGGCGAGUGAAGCGGCAAAAGCUCAAAUUUGAAAUCUGGCUCCUUACGGGGGUCCGAGUUGUAAUUUGAAGAAGCGACUUUGGUGUGGGCUCUUGUCUAUGUUCCUUGGAACAGGACGUCACAGAGGGUGAGAAUCCCGUGCGAUGAGAAGCCCAUUGCCGUGUAAAGCGUUUUCGACGAGUCGAGUUGUUUGGGAAUGCAGCUCUAAGUGGGUGGUAAAUUCCAUCUAAAGCUAAAUAUUGGCGAGAGACCGAUAGCGAACAAGUACAGUGAUGGAAAGAUGAAAAGAACUUUGAAAAGAGAGUGAAAAAGUACGUGAAAUUGUUGAAAGGGAAGGGCUUGAGAUCAGACUUUGUUUUUCCAUGGUGUUCUUUCGGGGAUGCCCUCUGGGUCUACAGGGCCAGCAUGGGUUCUGCGGGCGAGACAAUAGCGCAGGAAUGUGGCUCUGCUUCGGUGGAGUGUUAUAGCCUGUGCAGAUGUCGCCACGCGGGACCGAGGACUGCGGUACUAGGAUGCUGGCAUAAUGAUCUUAAGCCGCCCGUCUUGAAACACGGACCAAGGAGUCUAACGUCUAUGCGAGUGUUUGGGUGUCAAACCCGUACGCGGAAUGAAAGUGAACGUAGGUGAGAGCCCUUUCGGGGGCGCAUCAUCGACCGAUCCUGAUGUCUUCAGAUGGAUUUGAGUAAGAGCAUAGCUGUUGGGACCCGAAAGAUGGUGAACUAUGCCUGAAUAGGGUGAAGCCAGAGGAAACUCUGGUGGAGGCUCGUAGCGG
rnacentral:rRNA from 1 species